UGGGGAAUAUUGGGCAAUGGGCGCAAGCCUGACCCAGCCAUGCCGCGUGAGUGAUGAAGGCCUUCGGGUCGUAAAGCUCUGUGGGGAGGGACGAACAGUCCAGGGGCUAAUACCCUCUGGAUUUGACGGUACUUCCUUAGCAAGCACCGGCUAACUCCGUGCCAGCAGCCGCGGUAAUACGGAGGGUGCAAACGUUGCUCGGAAUCAUUGGGCGUAAAGCGCACGUAGGCGGUCUUUUAAGUCGGAUGUGAAAGCCCCAGGCUCAACCUGGGAAGUGCAUACGAAACUGGAAGGCUGGAGUACGGAAGAGGGUCUCGGAAUUCCCGGUGUAGAGGUGAAAUUCGUAGAUAUCGGGAGGAACACCAGUGGCGAAGGCGGAGACCUGGGCCGAUACUGACGCUGAGGUGCGAAAGCGUGGGGAGCAAACAGGAUUAGAUACCCCCGUAGUCC
rnacentral:rRNA from 1 species